rnacentral:lncRNA from 1 species
CCGGGCUGGGCCCGGCGGGGCGCUCCGAGUGCUGCGGCGCGGCGCGGCGGCGGCGGCGGGCGGCGGCGGCGCGGCGGCGGCGGCGGCGGCGGCGCGGCGAAGGCGGCGGCUUGUGGACCAGCCUGUCGCCAGCCCUUCUCCAGGGCCUUUUCGCAGCUGCACAAUUGACAACUUUUGCUCCGACCUGGCGCGUGGGGCAGCGAGCAGCGGCUACAAAGGUUUAGAGGAGAAACUGAGCUGUGUACCGACCUGCAUGGCAACUGUGGGAAUGAAGACAUUAAUAAUGAAAAGGAACUUUCAGUUCCCUUAACUCAGCAGGAUGACACGAUGUGCCAUAGGCGCAAACACUGAAUAAUUUAAGUAUUUGUGUAGUUUUAUUUUACAUGUCAUAUGGUUCUUAAUCCUACUAAUCUUAUCUAUUAUACAUAAAGCGCUGGAUGUGUGCGUCCUCAACUUUCUUUAUUCUCAUGGAAAG